GGCCCCGUAGCUCAAACGGGAGAGCGCGCCAAAGCUGCUGGCAUGGAUGCGAGUUCAAAUCUCGCCGGGGCCU
rnacentral:tRNA from 1 species